GGGUGCGCUCAUACCAGCACUAAUGCACUGGAUCCAUCAUAACUCUGUAGUUAAGUGUGCUUGGGCGAGAGUAGUACUAGGAUGGGUGAACUUUUGGGAAGUCCUCAUGUUGCACCCU
rnacentral:rRNA from 1 species